GACGAACGCUGGCGGCGUGCUUAACACAUGCAAGUCGAACGGUAAGGCCCUUCGGGGUACACGAGUGGCGAACGGGUGAGUAACACGUGGGUGAUCUGCCCUGCACUUUGGGAUAAGCCUGGGAAACUGGGUCUAAUACCGGAUAGGACCAUGGACUUCACGGUUUGUGGUGGAAAGCUUUUGCGGUGUGGGAUGGGCCCGCGGCCUAUCAGCUUGUUGGUGGGGUAAUGGCCUACCAAGGCGACGACGGGUAGCCGGCCUGAGAGGGUGUCCGGCCACACUGGGACUGAGAUACGGCCCAGACUCCUACGGGAGGCAGCAGUGGGGAAUAUUGCACAAUGGGCGCAAGCCUGAUGCAGCGACGCCGCGUGGGGGAUGACGGCCUUCGGGUUGUAAACCUCUUUCAGUAGGGACGAAGCGCAAGUGGCGGUACCUACAGAAGAAGCACCGGCCAACUACGUGCCAGCAGCCGCGGUAA
rnacentral:rRNA from 1 species